rnacentral:rRNA from 1 species
CAGCCGCCACGGGAAUACGAGAGGUGCAAGCGUUAUUCGGAUUGAUUGGGUGUAAAGGGUGUGCAGACGGCUUAUUAAGUCACUUGUUAAAUUCUUCGGCCUAACUGAAGGUCUGCAAGUGAUACUGAUGAGCUAGAGGGUGGAAGAGAGAAGUGGAAUUCUCGGAGUAGCGGUAAAAUGCGUAGAUCUCGAGAGGAACACCAAUGGCGAAGGCAGCUUCUUGGUCCAUUCCUGACGUUCAUACACGAAAGCGUGGGGAGCGAACAGGAUUAGAUACCCCCGUAGUCCCUGUCUCUUAUAC